AUUGAACGCUGGCGGCGUGCCUAACACAUGCAAGUCGAGCGGUAACAGGUGUAGCAAUACAUGCUGACGAGCGGCGGACGGGUGAGUAACGCUUGGGAAUCUGCCUGUUAGUGGGGGACAACCCGGGGAACUCGGGCUAAUACCGCAUACGCACUACGGUGGAAAGCCGGGGACCGCAAGGCCUGGCGCUAACAGAUGAGCCCAAGUCGGAUUAGCUAGUUGGUAGGGUAACGGCCUACCAAGGCGACGAUCCGUAACUGGUCUGAGAGGACGACCAGUCACACCGGAACUGAGACACGGUCCGGACUCCUACGGGAGGCAGCAGGUGGGGAAUAUUGGACAAUGGGCGAAAGCCUGAUCCAGCGACGCCGCGUGGGUGAAGAAGGCCUGCGGGUUGUAAAGCCCUUUCGGGUGGGGAAGAAAAGCCUCGAGUUAAUACCUCGGGUCUUGACGUAACCCAUAGAAGAAGCACCGGCUAACUCUGUGCCAGCCGCCGCA
rnacentral:rRNA from 1 species